rnacentral:piRNA from 1 species
UCUUCCAAGCCACUUUCAGAUAGAGAGC